rnacentral:rRNA from 1 species
AGAGUUUGAUCAUGGCUCAGAUUGAACGCUGGCGGCAGGCCUAACACAUGCAAGUCGAGCGGUAGCACAGAGAAGCUUGCUUCUUGGGUGACGAGCGGCGGACGGGUGAGUAACGCGUGGGAAUCUACCUGGUAGUGGGGGACAACAGUCGGAAACGACUGCUAAUACCGCAUACGCCCUUCGGGGGAAAGUGGGGAUCUUCGGACCUCACGCUAUCAGAUGAGCCCGCGUCGGAUUAGCUUGUUGGUGAGGUAAAGGCUCACCAAGGCGAUGAUCCGUAGCUGGUCUGAGAGGUUUAUCCCCCACACUGGUACUGAGACACGGACCAGACUCCUACGGGAGGCAGCAGUGAGGAAUAUUGGUCAAUGGACGCAAGUCUGAACCAGCCACGUCGCGUGAAGGAAGACGGCCUACGGGUUGUAAACUUCUUUUGUAAGGGAAUAAAGUGAGUCACGUGUGACUUUUUGCAUGUACCUUACGAAUAAGGAUCGGCUAACUCCGUGCCAGCAGCCGCGGUAAUACGGAGGAUCCGAGCGUUAUCCGGAUUUAUUGGGUUUAAAGGGUGCGCAGGCGGGAGAUUAAGUCGGCGGUGAAAUUUUGCAGCUCAACUGUAAAAGUGCCAUCGAUACUGGUUUUCUUGAGUGUGGAUGAAGUAGGCGGAAUUUGUGGUGUAGCGGUGAAAUGCAUAGAUAUCACAAGGAACACCGAUUGCGCAGGCAGCUUACUAAACCAUAACUGACGCUCAGGCACGAAGGCGUGGGGAGCAAACAGGAUUAGAUACCCUGGUAGUCCACGCAGUAAACGAUGAUUACUAGCUGUUUGCGAUACAUGUAAGCGGCUGAGCGAAAGCGUUAAGUAAUCCACCUGGGGAGUACGUUCGCAAGAAUGAAACUCAAAGGAAUUGACGGGGGCCCGCACAAGCGGAGGAACAUGUGGUUUAAUUCGAUGAUACGCGAGGAACCUUACCCGGGCUUGAAAUGCAUCUGACCGGCCUUGAAAGAGGUUUUCCCUUCGGGGCAGAUGUGUAGGUGCUGCAUGGUUGUCGUCAGCUCGUGCCGUGAGGUGUCGGCUUAAGUGCCAUAACGAGCGCAACCCUCAUCAUUAGUUACCAUCAGGUAAGGCUGGGGACUCUAAUGAGACUGCCAUCGUAAGAUGGAGGAAGGUGGGGAUGACGUCAAAUCAGCACGGCCCUUACGUCCGGGGCGACACACGUGUUACAAUGGGUGGUACAAAGGGCAGCUACCUGGCGACAGGAUGCUAAUCUCCAAAACCACUCUCAGUUCGGAUCGGAGUCUGCAACUCGACUCCGUGAAGCUGGAUUCGCUAGUAAUCGCGCAUCAGCCACGGCGCGGUGAAUACGUUCCCGGGCCUUGCACACACCCCCGUC